UGUUGUAGCCAGCUACUUCACAGUGACCCUAAGGAAAUGGAAAAUGUAGGAGUAAAUGUUAGGGAAGCAGAGAGAAAAGCCAGGCAAGUGACCACAGGGAGGAAAAUGAAGACAAGUGUUUGGAAGCUCCUGUUGCAGGAAAAUCUGGCAUUUCAAGAUUCAUCCCAUGAUGAAACUCGUCCCAGUAACGGAGCAGACCCUCAUCAAUUUCAGCUCUGGAAUUUCAUUAGGCGUGGAAUUUUUGAAGAUAUUCAAGGGAUGGAGUGGAAGCAGAGACCAAAGUUUUGCUAAUACACCUGCAAGUUUCAUGCUUCACAUUUUCCCCUGUUGCUCAUGUGCUGUGCUGCCCUGUGGGCCUUUUCCCACAGCUCUGGUGGUACAUUGUGUUGAUUGUGUGCACUCUGACCCCUGUGCUGGCGGAAGACUCGGCAAAAUCAUUUGGGAGUGGAGGUUCAGACUGGAUAUUAGGAAAAAUUUCUAUACUGAAAGACUGAUUAAGCAUUGGAACAAGCUCUCCAGGAAAAUGGAGGAGUCACCAUUCCUACAAGUGUCCAAAAAAUGA
rnacentral:lncRNA from 1 species